rnacentral:lncRNA from 10 species
CUCACAGCUCACAGCACCCGUGGAGGCCAAAUCAUGCUGGGAUGGACCCUCUGUAUUUGCAGCCCAAACGUGUGUGAGUCUGUGAGCUGCAUGUGUUAAAACGUGUUUGCAUUUGGGAUGGGGACUGAGGAAGCAUCUGGGGACUGGACAGAAGAGUUUCCCCAGGAUGCAGUACUUUGAACAAACCAUGGAUUCCAGAAAAGACAUCUGUUUCCAUCAAGAACUAACAUGGAAUAAUAACAAAGAAGAUGUGGCCACAUGCUCUCAGGUAGAAACUGAAGGUCAAAGAAGAGAUAUGAGAAGGAGUUUUCCCAUCAAGGGAGGUCCUUUUCUGAUGGAUGACUAAGCCCUGAGAAAUGCUUAGAAAUAGGCAAGAGGGGAUGAAUGCUGCUCUACAUUCAGGUAGCUUUUUGGCUUGGCAAAACUUUAAAAUGUGAUGAAAUCUCUAGAGAGCAAGAAAAAAAAGAUACAGAAAUGGAAAAACCCUUAUGGACCCCAACAACAACAACAACAACAAAACUGUUCUCUAUUACCAUGGUCCCAUCUAUUCCUAUUGAAAUGUAGACCAAGAUGGAUAAGAUGAAUAUUGUAUGUUGACACAGCAAAAUAAUCUGCAGUAACAAAGCCAUGCCUUUGCUUCCUAAAGUUAUCAGAAUGGCACCUUAAAAUUAUGGUCAUAAAGGAACCUGUGAUUGGCCAUACGUUUGAGUUUUCAAGAAGAGAUCUUACACGGAACAUGAGAAAACUACAGUGACUCUCUUGAGAUUUUUCGAAUGACACACAAGCACCAAAGAGGAACUUUUGCCUUUUCGGACAAGUUAAGUACAUUAAAUAUAAUAAGGUCUGAUAAAUCAGAAACAAAAAGUGAAAUUCAUGUUAAGGCCUCAACUCAGUGUUUUAGAAGAGAAUUUUUCUGGGUUUUAUAGUAUCUGACAGUUAAUAGGCCAGGCACAGUGGCUCACACCUGUAGUCUCAGCACUUUAGAAGACAGAGACAAGUGGAUCUCUUGAGCCCAGGAGUUCGAGAACAGCCUGGGCAAUAUUGUGAGGCCCCCAUCUCUACUAAAAAUAACAAAAUCAGCUAUUAGCUGGGCAUGAUGGCAUGCAUCUGUGGUCCUAGCUACCGGGGAGGCUGAGGUGGGAGGAUUGCUUGAGCCUGGGAGGCAGAGUUUGCAGUGAGCCAUGAUUGCACCACUGCAUUCCAGCCUGGGUGACAGAAUGAGACCUUUUCUCAAAAAGAUAAAAAAUAAAUAAAAAAUUAAAGGAAUCCAGUUAACAGUUGUCGCAGGAUGUUAAAGAAUCAGGCUUUAUGGUUUUAAUCAUUACAUAUUCCAGAGGUAAAAUUCUGAGGAAAUCAUUUUUAUGGGUUUAACAGCCAUUCAUACUAUUCUUUAAUGAACAGAGAUUCUGCCACGGAAGAAAGGCUAUUGCAAUUGUCUAGUUUGAGGUUGAUAAAAUUUCUUUUUGACUGGAAAAGAGAAAUUUCCAGUGAAAGGUGAUUUCUUGGCCGGGCACAGUGGCUCAUGCCUGUAAUCCCAGCACUCUGGGAGGCAGAGGCAGGUGGACCACCUGAGGUCAGCGGUUCGAGACCAGCCUGGCCAACAUGGCGAAACCUCGUCUCUACUAAAAAUACAAAAAUUAGCUGGGCGUGUUGGUGGGCACCUGUAAUCCCAGCUACUUGAGAUACUGAGGCACAAGAAUCACUUGAACCUGGGAGGCAAAGGCUGCAGUGAGCGGAGACUGUGGCACUGCACUCCAGCCUGGGCCACAGAGUGAGAUACUGUCUUAAAAAAAAAAAAAAAAAAAAAGAAAGGUGAUUUCUUUACACAGUAGGAACCGGGGGCAAUUAACUUUCGGGCACUUACUUGUACUCAAUUAAUAAUUGAUAUAUAAAUGAAUGUAUCAAAGGCAUCCUGGGAGAUCCCCACAAAUCUGAAACUGCCUACAACAUCCUCCCAAUUUGAUCGGAAUAACUUAAUUGUACUAGGCCUUAGGUUCUGUAAGAAUCCAAAGUGGUGUAAGGUAAGUUUUAUCUGGAAUAGACAGUACAAAUAACAUAGUUCUCCAAAGAAUACAUAAUAUACAAUUGAUGAUGGUAGAAAGUAGAACAAUGGGAAGUGGUUACUCCUUAAGAAUAAUACUUGCUUUCUCCAAAAGGGCUCACUGAGCCACCCAGCAUAUUCCAAGAGUCUAAACAAGGACCGUUGACUAAUUACUUCCAUUAGACUUCCUCUUCGAGAUCCAAAGUUACAUCUGUCCUUCCUCCUUCUCCUUAGAAGAACCAGCUCUCCCAAGAUCUAAGAAGAAAACUCCCAGAAUUAGGCCACGGUAGGCUGGGAAGUAGUUGAGUGAGACAUUUUUUGUACCUUCAGGUGCUGAAAACUCAGCCUCUUUUGAGGAGUUGCCAGAUCCUCCUGGAUCCUAGGAGGGCCAAACCAGCUCAUGUGUCCUAUUAAGAUUCACAGCAAGUGGUCAUGGCCUUCCUGGGCAUGGCUUUACGAGCUGUGGGGAAGAGUUCAGAAGACCCAUAUGGGCUGGAGGAGCCUGUUCUUUGGGAGGGUUUCUGCAGGUAUUUUGAAAUGAUUCUGAAGAACUGGCUCUAGGCCAUGUUUUAUUUUUCAGAGGGAGGCUUAUAUGCAAUCAAACUAACCCCAGUGAAAAUGAAAUCACAGUUAGGAGAAGAAGAAAGGACCAGAAUAGUUCAUGAAUUGCCGUACUCCUUACUCUUCUAAUGUAAACAAUAUUAAAAUGCAAUUAUUUCACUAAGGAAAGCUUUUCAAGGUACAGUUCCUUUAAGAAUCAGUUCUGCUGGUAAGGGAACCAAAAAAAUCUCUGUACUUCCUCAAUGGAUUUUAAAUAUAUCAGUAACUCUUCUUGCCCCAAUCCCCAUCAUCCAAAUUUACACUAACCAAAGAAUUUAUGGGUAUAAAAUUACUGUCCUGGGUGGAGGAACUCCUACACAGAAUAGCAACAUGCUUUUAUAGCAAAAGAAGAUGAUGGAGUCUUUAGCAUCCAUGCUGUUUUAUUCAGAAAGAAAAAAAUAUAUAUUGGGGGGGUGGGGGCUGAAGUUAAAGAUAUAUUUUCCUCUUUGCAGCUCUAUAAUUUCAUUCCCCAUAAAAGAGUGAAUCAGACUGAGUUGUCAAAUGAAAAGUAAACUUCAUCGCCUUUGCGAUCAGAAUAAUUUAAUUAGCUUUAUUGGCUCUUACAGGCUGUCACCUUAUUUAUUGGUUUUUCAGCUUUCUUCUCAUUUUCAAUUAGGCUUUAAAAAAACAAAUGCAAAAUCAUUCACUAAAUUCAGAAUAAUUAAAACAAUAUUGUGUUUCCAGUUUGGAAACAUGGUAGAAUGUAUUGCUUCUGGGUACACUUCGGAGAGGUUAAAGUGACAGAGCAGAUAAAAAGGACACUUAGUACACACGUAAAUCAUUUGCAUUACAAAUAAGAUACUUUAGCAGGGGUUGGACUCCCUGCCUGACAGUCAGGAUUAAGUUCCCAUAUUAAUACAUGCAUUUGGUGUGGUUAUUUUGGGUGAAAGACUUCAUCCAUCAAUGCCCUCUGCCACUAAGUAAGGCCAACCUGUAAACUGAUCACCACAGCCUGUCAACACUGGUUACUUAAUUAUAUAAAGAAAAUAUGUUUAAAAGACUUUUGAUAAUUUGGUUAGUAUUUCAACAUCUUUUUCAAGGUUCCUUAAAAUAAUAGCUAAAGCAUUUUUAAGAAUUAAAAACUGAAAACUAUGACUAUUUUUAUGUUUCCUGCUAAUCUUUCUUUUUCUUUUAUUUGCAGAAGGGAAAAAUAAAGAUUCAGUAAGCAUUAAUGAAGAUGAAUAUAAAUGAAAUAAUAUUUUUAAAAGAUAUUUUAAUUAAAAAUUAAAUUCAAUGCAUG